CGCUGCUGAGCCUCCUGUAACGUGCAGAGCAGCCCCACGACAGUGAGAGCCGUGGCCCAGGACAUCAGUUGUGCUGAGGCUGAGUCCCCCUGGUGUAGAUGAGCCACCAGGACGGAGCAGGCCCCUGGGGCCGGCAGCCACCGGGAGGGUUGAGCACCCCGGCUUGAGGGCCACUGUAUAGGCAGGACUGCCGGGCGGGAGCCCAGGUUUAAAGUCCCACUAUCCAGACCCUGCUGAGGCUCCCACUGGCCAAACCUGAGAGGCCCACUGAUGGGCUCUCAGAAGACAUGCAGCCCAGUCCCACUGUGACCCUUUACACUGAGGGGAAACUGAGACUCUUGCCCAAGAUGCCAGAACCAGGCAGAGGCCGAGCAGGGAGUCAGAUGCAAGUCAUCUGGCGCCAGAUUGCAGCCCUGCCGCGUACAUGGCACAGGCCUUGGGGCCUGUGAAUGGCCCUUCACUGGGCUGCAAAUGUGCUUGAGGGCUCUGUCGGGGGGGUUGCCUUGGCCCGGACACUGUCCUGGGGCCCUGGACAGGGUGCCCUGGUGCCGGCCUCAGGCAGGCUCUCCUCUUCCUUCCAGCAAAGAGUAACGCCUCUCAAUCCAGCAUCGCCUCCCUGCCCUCCUGGGCUGCUGCCCCCGCAGAGCCUCAGCCUCAGCCAAGAGUUGAUAUACAGAUGUUCCUGGACAUGUCAUACCACUUUACUCCUAAAUACUUCAGCGAGUGUUUCCUAUAGCAAGGAUAUUUUCUUUAAUAACACAAUCUGCAGAUAUGAAUACCUCACCUGAAACAUUUCAUUGCCAUUAACUAUGUGAAGGAAGAAUUCCUGCAUUGACAAUUUUGAAGUGUCCAGGCAGUGACUCUGCAAAAGUCCUCCAUGUGGAUUUAUUAGAUGGUUCACUCAAGAUGACAUGUGGGUUAAACACUUUGGAUGGGACACCACUAAGGUAAUGAUGCUUCUGGGGAGCUCUUAAAAAUGCCAGUUCUCGACCCUGGUCCUGGAGGUUCUGUUUGUACAGACCACGGGUGGGGGCCCAGAAUCUAUAUUUUUAGCAAAUCCUCUAAGUGGUUCUGUAGUUCAGCCAGCCUGGAAGUGAGCCCAUUAUUCCAUACACUCUUCCAUCAACACCUUAAUAAAGUAGGUAUUAGGAUCCCAAUUUGUCAGGUUAGAGAGUGGAGGCUCAGGUGGUGAAUUCUGGAGCCAGAAUCGGAGGCCUGGUCUGUUUGGUGCCUAUGUCCUCCAAGUCGUCCUUUGCGCUAGACUGCCCCCUGCUGACUACAACGGUAAUGCCGCUAGAAGUCUUACCUGUUGGUCCCGGGGCCUGUAGCUAUCUUCAAGUCAGUGUUACAGCAUGAAGGGCGUGAGGAGACUGCUGUCAUGGCCACACCUGGUGGCGCAUUUCAUCAGAGUUCAUCCAGUCCAGAAAGCUGUGGGUCUCUUGAGCCUGGGGCUCUGGGAGGCACAGCCUACACCUGGAGCCAGCAUCCGCCCGAGUGUUCCACCCCCGACCUGUGAGCUCUCUCCCUUGCUUUCCUCCUGACCCAGCUACGGAGCUCCGAGGGGGAGGCCGAGAGCACCUUUGUCCUGGCGGUGGCGGAGCAUCACUUCCACAUGGGCAGCAGGCUGGUGGCUGCUGAGCCGGUCUCAGCAACACCAUCAGGCUGGAACAGACCUUCCCCCAGGUGUGUAUGGGGGGCGGCCAGGACAAGCUGGGAGGCUCGCGGGGGCAGCCCUCAGAGAAAAGGGGAAUUGUCCUGGUUUCGGGACGACCCGGUAUGGGCAGAGCUGUGAAGUGGGCAGAAUGUGCUGGAAUGGAUCCUCAGCUGUCUUGAUGUCCAUUCUUCCCUCUGUUCCCUCCCUCCCUUCUACCACCUACUAGGUGCCUGACCAGGCCCUAUUCCAGAAGCUGAAGAACAGCUUCUGUGGCCUGGAACAGAACUGAUGAGUCCUUAUUCUCAUCAAGUAUAUGGUCUGGUAGGAAAUUGACACUCAAAAAAAUAACAUAAAUAAUAAUCUAGAUGGUGACACAUACUAUAGAGAAAGCAGUGGGAUGGUAUGAGUGAUUAUGGCUGGGAAGCUAUGCCCUAGGAGUAAAGGCCAGUAAAGUUAAGGAGGUGACAUUCAAGCUAGCCCUGGAUGACAAGUAUCAGCCAUGUGAAAAUCUGGUGAAAGGGCAUUUUAGGCAGAGGGAACAAAACAUGCCAAGGUUCUGGGGCGGGACUGAGUUUGGCAUGUUUUAGGAAUGGCCACUGGACUGGAGCAGGGUGGCUGAGGGAGUAAAUGGUGGGAGGCCUUGGGGGUCUGGUCAGGCAGGGCAUGGCGAGCCACAGGGAGGAGUUUGUACUUUAUUCUCUCUGAAGUUGGAAGCCUUUUGAGGCCAAGACUUAAUUGAUGAUUUCAGACCUCUGACUGCUCUGUGGAGAGUGGCCUACAGGGGGCAGAAGAGAACAGUGAGGAAGCCCCUGUAGCCAACAGGACAGGAGAUAAUGAUGUCUCAGGCCAAAGUGGGAUGGCGGUGGCACCAAAGGCAAAUGAACAGACACAUGAUAGAUUGUACCUGUCUUAGUCUGACUUAGGCCCAUAGGUCUUGGCAUAGAUCUUGCCCCCAAAGGGGCCAGUGAUCAAUGAUCCAGUUGGCAUGGCACCAUGUCGGCAGCAACAGGGCCAAGCCUGGCAGACAGCCCAGCUGUCAGUGCACACAGCUAGAGGGGAGGGCGUGAUAAUCCUGCGUGAUCGGGAGCCAUUCUACCCGUGACUCAGUCCAUUGACUGCUUUUCCCCUCUCCGUCCUCUAACACUUAUAUUGUCUUAGUCUUAGGAUGGAAAGUCACAGCCCUCCACUUCGGGGGCUGCCCACAAGUCGAGCCGUCUGUAUACCAAGCAUCUUCAGGUAUAGGGGCUUUUCCCUGCUGAUAAGGACUCUCGCCUACCAAUGGCUCAAGUGCAAGUUCUUCUUGCUUUCCACUCGUAUACGUCACUUGCCCAAAUAGGCAUCGGAGAUCUCCACUCAAGGGGGUAUCGGAGAGGGUGCUAUGCUGCUUCAAAUCUGCGCCCCCAUUUGGGCAGUGGAUGUGUCUGUGCCGUGCCACUCCCUGGCUUUGGGUCCAGUCUCACACCCACCCCACGAUGGGAUAGGUGGUUAUUACAUUGGUCGGACCUAUUCCGGUGAUGGGCUCCAUAGCCACCAAGGCGUGAUACACAGAAGCCAGUUGCUCCUCUAUUAAUGGCUACCAGACCUCUGCUCCUUUCCAUAUUGGGACCAGAAUGCAACAGGUUGGCAUGUUCACUAAAAGAAAUGCCAAAGGCCCCAUCCGUAACCAUCUCCAUUUACAUGAACACCUAGCUUGCAGGGCCUUCAUGAAUCCAUUACACUCAAGGACUAUAAUGGCCUUGACUGCUUGCUUAGUAGCAGUGAACACAGCUGCACAGGUCUCAUCAUGGCCCCACCUGACGCCCUUUUGCACUGACUGGUAUAAGGCCUUCAGAAUUUGUGCGAAGUGCCAGAUAAACACCCUCCAGGAGCCCAAAACACCCAAAAACUCUUGUAUGAUGGACUGCCACAGUGGUAGGGGUUGGGAAAGCCUGGAACUUGUCUAUGACCACAUCUGGGAUAACUGUAGUUUUACCCAACCAGACAACCCCCAAGAACUUGACACACAAACCAGGUCCCUGAACCAUCCCUGUCAAAAUACCAACAGCAUUCUUCAACAAACUGGAACAAAUAGCUCUAAAAGUCAUAGGGAACCACAAAAGACCCCAAAUAGCCAAAGCAAUCCUAAGAAGGAAGAAUAAAGUGGGGGCAGAGGAGGCAUUAUGCUCCCCAACUUCAAGUUCUACUACACAGCCACAGUAAUCAAGACAAUUUGGUACUGGCACAAGAGCAGACCUGUAGAUCAAUGGAACAGAAUAGAGGGCGCAGAUAUAACACACACAUACACGGCCAAUUCAUAUAUGAUAAAGGAACGACGGAUGGACAUACAAUGGGGAAAUGACAGCCUCUUCAACAGCUGGUGUUGGCAAAACUGGACAGUUACAUGAGAGAGAGAGAAUGAAAUGGGAUUACGGUCUAACUCCAUACACAUAAGUAAACUCAAAAUGGAUCAAUGACCUGAAUGUAAGUCAUGAAACCAUAAAACUCUUAGAAGUAAAUCAUAGGCAAAAGUCUCUUGAAUAUAAACAUGAGCAGCUUUUUCAUGAACAUGCCUCCUCGGACAAGGGAAACAAAAGCAAAGAUGAACAAGUGGGCCUCUAUCCAAGUCAAAAGCUUCUGUACAGCAAAGGACACCAUCAGUGGGAGAAAAAGGCAUCUCUACAGUAUGGGAGAAUAUAUUCAUAAAUGACAUAUAUCAUAAGGGGUUGACAGCCAAAAUAUAAAGAGCUCAAGCACCUCCACAACCAAAAGGCAGGCAAAUAACCCGACUAAAAAAUAGGCAGAGGAUCUGAACACACUUCUCCAAAGAAGAAAUGCAGAUGGCCAAAUGGCCAACAGGCACAUGUAAAGAUGCUCCACAUUGCUAAUUAUAAGAGAAAUGCAAAUUUAAACCGUAAUGAGAUAUCACCUCACACCAGUCAGGAUGACCACCAUCCAAAAGACAGACAACAACGCAUGCUGGCGAGGAUGUGGAGAAAGGGGAACCCUUGUACACUGCUCGGGGGAAUGGAAAUUAGUUUAACCAUUGUGGAAAGCAUUAUGGAGGUUCCUCAAAAAACUCAAGAUAGAAAUAACAUUUGUCCCAGGAAUUCCACUCCUAGGAAUUUAACCUAAGAAUGCAGCAACCCAGUUUGAAAAAGAUAUAUGCACCCCUAUGUUUAUCACAGCACUACUUACAAUAGCCAAGAAAUGGAAGCAACCUAAGUGUCCAUCAGUAGAUGAAUGGAUAAAGAAGAUGUGGUACAUAUACACAAUGGAAUAUUAAUCAGUCAUAAGUAGAAAACAAAUCCUACCAUUUGCAACAACAUGGAUGGGGCUAGAGGGUAUUAUGCUCAGUGAAAUAAGGCAGGCAGAGAAAGACAAGUAUCAAAUGA